rnacentral:rRNA from 1 species
UACGGAGGGUGCAAGCGUUAAUCGGAAUUACUGGGCGUAAAGCGUGCGCAGGCGGUUUGUUAAGUCUGCUGUGAAAUCCCCGAGCUCAACUUGGGAAUUGCAGUGGAUACUGGCAGGCUGGAGUAUGGUAGAGGAAGGUGGAAUUCCCGGUGUAGCAGUGAAAUGCGUAGAGAUCGGGAGGAACACCAGUGGCGAAGGCGGCCAACUGGACGAAGACUGACGCUGAGACACGAAAGCGUGGGGAGCAAACAGG